UACUCGUGAUGUGGACACUUCAAGAGUACCCCAUUGAAUCACUCUCAUGCUUCCAAAAAUUCUUAUCCUAUCUCUGAGUAAACUCUGAGAUUUCUCUACAAAUAGCA
rfam:Citrus clementina cultivar Clemenules unplaced genomic scaffold scaffold_9, whole genome shotgun sequence.